AGGGUUUGAUUUGGCUCAGGACGAACGCUGGCGGCGUGCCUAACACAUGCAAGUCGAACGGUCUAAUGCUUAACACUGAGUGUUCAGUGAAGUUGGGACAGCGAGAGCGCGAAGCAUGAGCGCUCCACGCAAUUAAAAGUGCCAACAUACUUGGGAAACGGAACGCUGAGUGUUAAGUAUUAGAUAGUGGCGGACGGGUGAGUAACGCGUGGGUAACCUACCCAACAAACCGGGACAACCCUUGGAAACGAGGGCUAAUACCGGAUACGCUUAUAAGUUGGCAUCAACGUAUAAGGAAAGGUGGCCUCUGAAUAUGCUGCCGAUGAUGGAUGGACCCGCGUCUGAUUAGCUGGUUGGUGGGGUAAAGGCCUACCAAGGCGACGAUCAGUAGCCGGCCUGAGAGGGUGAACGGCCACACUGGGACUGAGACACGGCCCAGACUCCUACGGGAGGCAGCAGUGGGGAAUCUUCCGCAAUGGACGAAAGUCUGACGGAGCAACGCCGCGUGUAUGAUGAAGGUCUUCGGAUUGUAAAGUACUGUUUUUAGGGAAGAACGGUCUCUUCAGGAAUAUGGAGGAGACAUGACGGUACCUAAGGAGGAAGCCCCGGCUAACUACGUGCCAGCAGCCGCGGUAAUACGUAGGGGGCGAGCGUUGUCCGGAAUUAUUGGGCGUAAAGGGCGCGUAGGCGGGUAUUUAAGUCCGGUGUGAAAGAUCAGGGCUCAACCCUGAGAGUGCAUCGGAAACUGGGUAUCUUGAGGACAGGAGAGGAAAGUGGAAUUCCACGUGUAGCGGUGAAAUGCGUAGAUAUGUGGAGGAANNCCAGUGGCGAANGCGACUUUCUGGNCUGUAACUGACGCUGANGCGCGAAAGCGUGGGGAGCAAACAGGAUUAGAUACCCUGG
rnacentral:rRNA from 1 species